GACGAACGCUGGCGGCUGUGCUUAACACAUGCAAGUCGAACGGAAAGGCCCUGCUUUUGUGGGGUGCUCGAGUGGCGAACGGGUGAGUAACACGUGAGUAACCUGCCCUUGACUUUGGGAUAACUUCAGGAAACUGGGGCUAAUACCGGAUAGGAGCUCCUGCUGCAUGGUGGGGGUUGGAAAGUUUCGGCGGUUGGGGAUGGACUCGCGGCUUAUCAGCUUGUUGGUGGGGUAGUGGCUUACCAAGGCUUUGACGGGUAGCCGGCCUGAGAGGGUGACCGGCCACAUUGGGACUGAGAUACGGCCCAGACUCCUACGGGAGGCAGCAGUGGGGAAUAUUGCACAAUGGGCGGACGCCUGAUGCAGCAACGCCGCGUGCGGGAUGACGGCCUUCGGGUUGUAAACCGCUUUCGCCUGUGACGAAGCGUGAGUGACGGUAAUGGGUAAAGAAGCACCGGCUAACUACGUGCCAGCAGCCGCGGUGAUACGUAGGGUGCGAGCGUUGUCCGGAUUUAUUGGGCGUAAAGGGCUCGUAGGUGGUUGAUCGCGUCGGAAGUGUAAUCUUGGGGCUUAACCCUGAGCGUGCUUUCGAUACGGGUUGACUUGAGGAAGGUAGGGGAGAAUGGAAUUCCUGGUGGAGCGGUGGAAUGCGCAGAUAUCAGGAGGAACACCAGUGGCGAAGGCGGUUCUCUGGGCCUUUCCUGACGCUGAGGAGCGAAAGCGUGGGGAGCGAACAGGCUUAGAUACCCUGGUAGUCCACGCUGUAAACGGUGGGUACUAGGUGUGGGGUCCAUUCCACGGGUUCCGUGCCGUAGCUAACGCUUUAAGUACCCCGCCUGGGGAGUACGGCCGCAAGGCUAAAACUCAAAGGAAUUGACGGGGCCCCGCACAAGCGGCGGAGCAUGCGGAUUAAUUCGAUGCAACGCGUAGAACCUUACCUGGGUUUGACAUGGAUCGGGAGUGCUCAGAGAUGGGUGUGCCUCUUUUGGGGUCGGUUCACAGGUGGUGCAUGGCUGUCGUCAGCCCGUGUCGUGAGAUGUUGGGUUAAGUCCCGCAACGAGCGCAACCCUUGUUCACUGUUGCCAGCACGUUAUGGUGGGGACUCAGUGGAGACCGCCGGGGUCAACUCGGAGGAAGGUGGGGAUGACGUCAAGUCAUCAUGCCCCUUAUGUCCAGGGCUUCACGCAUGCUACAAUGGCUGGUACAGAGAGUGGCGAGCCUGUGAGGGUGAGCGAAUCUCGGAAAGCCGGUCUCAGUUCGGAUUGGGGUCUGCAACUCGACCUCAUGAAGUCGGAGUCGCUAGUAAUCGCAGAUCAGCAACGCUGCGGUGAAUACGUUCCCGGGGCU
rnacentral:rRNA from 1 species